rnacentral:rRNA from 1 species
UACGAAGGGGGCUAGCGUUGCUCGGAAUCACUGGGCGUAAAGCGCACGUAGGCGGGUCGCUAAGUCGGGGGUGAAAUCCUGGAGCUCAACUCCAGAACUGCCUUCGAUACUGGCGACCUUGAGUCCGGGAGAGGUGAGUGGAACUCCGAGUGUAGAGGUGAAAUUCGUAGAUAUUCGGAAGAACACCAGUGGCGAAGGCGGCUCACUGGACCGGCAUUGACGCUGAGGUGCGAAAGCGUGGGGAGCAAACAGG